AGAUUGAACGCUGGCGGCAUGCUUUACACAUGCAAGUCGAACGGCAGCACGGGUGCUUGCAUCUGGUGGCGAGUGGCGGACGGGUGAGUAAUACAUCGGAACGUGUCCUAAAGUGGGGGAUAACGCAUCGAAAGAUGUGCUAAUACCGCAUAUUCUCUGAGGAGGAAAGUAGGGGAUCGAAAGACCUUAUGCUUUUGGAGCGGCCGAUGUCUGAUUAGCUAGUUGGUAGGGUAAUGGCUUACCGAAGGCGACGAUCAGUAGUUGGUCUGAGAGGACGACCAGCCACACUGGGACUGAGACACGGCCCAGACCUCCGUACGGGAGCAGCAGGUGGGUAAUUUGGACUAAGUGGGCGCAAGCCUGAUCCGAGCAAUGCCGCGUGAGUAGAAGAGGUCCGUUGGUAGUAAGC
rnacentral:rRNA from 1 species